rnacentral:rRNA from 1 species
AUUGAACGCUGGCGGCAGGCCUAACACAUGCAAGUCGAGCGGAUGAAGGGAGCUUGCUCCUGGAUUCAGCGGCGGACGGGUGAGUAAUGCCUAGGAAUCUGCCUGGUAGUGGGGGAUAACGUCCGGAAACGGGCGCUAAUACCGCAUACGUCCUGAGGGAGAAAGUGGGGGAUCUUCGGACCUCACGCUAUCAGAUGAGCCUAGGUCGGAUUAGCUAGUUGGUGGGGUAAAGGCCUACCAAGGCGACGAUCCGUAACUGGUCUGAGAGGAUGAUCAGUCACACUGGAACUGAGACACGGUCCAGACUCCUACGGGAGGCAGCAGUGGGGAAUAUUGGACAAUGGGCGAAAGCCUGAUCCAGCCAUGCCGCGUGUGUGAAGAAGGUCUUCGGAUUGUAAAGCUCUUUAAGUUGGGAGGAAGGGCAGUAUGUUAAUACCUUGCUGUUUUGACGUUACCAACAGAAUAAGCCCCGGCUAACUUCGUG